CAGCACUAAAGAGAAACUGUGCAUCAACUCUCUCUACCAAAAGCAAAAGAUAAAUGGAUCCACAUCACGAUUUAUACUUUACCGGAAUGACUUUUUGUCACUUAACUUCGUUUGAUACUCGGGUGUUGGAAGUGCGAGAUCAAGGCAAUAUAGCUACUGGUGGUAUAGCUAUUGCUAUCGUCGACAUUAUUUAUUUCUUAUCCAAGUUGAAAUAUGGGUGGGCUGAAAAUAUAGUCGAACUACAAGACGUAUAUCGAAAACAUGUUGUCGAUAGACCCCAACAAUGUUGAAGCUAUUCAACAAAAACCACCACUUAUGGUCACAGUUGAACUAUAUCCGAGUUUUAGGCGCUUUGCCGGACAUCAACAUAGUGGGCCUCCAUCGAGAAUAUAUCAAGGGGAACACAAUCUGGGAUGCCGAGUAUAGGUCACGUUGUCUUGGUAGUUGGGUAUUCUAGUGGCGGACAUACGGAGGGGCUUGGGGGUCCAAUGGAACCCCAAACAAUUUUGAAAGUUCCUAUAUAUUACAUAUUUAUACUGUACUUACCAAAAUUUGACAUAGCCCAGUUGGUUAAUAAGUUGCUCUUUUAUCCCAGAGAUCUGGGGUUUAAUUCCCAGCGCCGAAAAUAGUUCCAUUUUGUUAUGUUUUUCAGCUUUCUCAUUUCUCUAUGUUUGGAUAUUCAGUUAUGUUUUUCAAUUUUCUCAUUUCUUUAUGUUUGCUUUUAGUAGAUUUUCAAUUUUGUAUUUUAAUUUUCACGUACUAAACACACUAUUCUUAAUCUCCGUGUCCAAAACAAGUGUCCCAAUUAGCAAGGAACAGAGAUAUUAUACUAUAGUAGUAAAUUUAAUUUUAAAGUUAUAUUUUUAUUUAAAAAAAAUAUUCUUCAAUAUUAUUUAGCCUCAUAAAAAUAUAGCAUGUAUUAUAUUGUUCGUAUUGGGAUUGUUUCUGUCUAUAUUGACACCAAAAAUAUGUAACAAUUGUUACAGUAGUUUAGAACCCCCAGUAUAAAAAUCCUGCGUCCGCCAUUGGGUAUUUUUACGAGGCUGAGUUGGGACUAUAUUACUUGUUGAAAAACUCAUGGGGAAAAAAUGCAGGCUGUAUGGGUUAUGCAAAAGUUGUAAAAUCAUUUAUUACUAUCUUUCUGAUAUAUAUAUCAGAAACAAUUAAUCUAGUGCAUGACCCAAGAGCUGAAUUGUAAUGAAACUUUUUUAUGUUAUAUGCUAGGUUGGUGUACCUAUA